GUAAAACAGGAAAGGGCUAAAAAUAAAAGAUGUUCAAAGUGAAUAAAAAGCCCAUCUUUUUACAAUCAAUUUGUACAAUUAUGCCACUAAGAGGGUAGUUAUGGACCUUAUUAACAUUAACCCCAUUAGAUUAAGAAUCUUGAAAGCAAGUGAUAAGAUAUUGAAAUGUGAGGUCCAUAUCGUACCAUUUCCACUCUAUCGAUAAGAGAAGAAUCCAGAAACCAUAAUUCCAUUGGACCUCAUUUCCCUGUCUUGGCCCUACAAUCUUGUCUUGUCAAAAUUUCCCAUCAUUCCAAUCUAGUAGAGCUCAAGAUCAUCAUCACCCAGGAAAAACUAGAGCCACCCCAUCAUUCAUCAAUCCAUGGCAGCAACUAUGGCUACAAUGGCAAUGCUCAAUGCCAAGUGCUUGAGCAUUAACUCAACAAAAAACAAGCCAUCCACAAAACCCAUUUCCCUUCUCUCCAUGCAAGACCUCCCUAAAGGUCUAACCAUCUCAAAGCCAGCAGAGAAGACAGCUCUUGCAGGUACUGCCAUAGCUGGAGCUAUCUUUUCUACCUUAAGCUCAUGUGAUCCUGCUUUGGCUGCCCAACAAAUAGCAGAAAUAGCAGAAGGGGACAACCGUGGCUUAGCACUCUUGCUUCCCAUAAUACCAGCUGUAGCUUGGGUGCUAUUCAACAUCCUGCAGCCAGCACUUAACCAACUGGACCGUAUGAGGGAGACCAAGGGGGUGAUAAUUGGGCUCGGGCUUGGUGGAUUGGCUGCAUCAGGAUUCAUGUCAGCCCCAGAGGCAUCAGCAAGUGAAAUUGCCAUGAUUGCUGAUGCAACAAAUGACAAUAGGGGUCAGCUUCUGUUGUUUGUAGUUGCUCCUGCUCUUCUUUGGGUGCUCUACAAUAUCCUACAACCAGCUUUGAACCAACUCAACAGGAUGAGGUCUCAGUAGUGAUAUAUAUAUAUAUAUAUUUGUCGUGGAGGUGUAAUGGCAGAAAAGUUUACUUGUAAUUGCACCUAUCUUAAUGAAACUCUCUCUGUUCUUUUUUUUUGUUUUGUUUUUUUCCCUUUACUCUUGCUUGUUUAAUUAAUUUGAAUUUUCAAGUGUAAGUUCUUAGUUAAUUGUUUAAUUUAUCUAGCCCUGCAAACUCUAUAUAUAUAAAAAUGAACCCCUUAAGUUUCUUUUAAAUUAAUU
rnacentral:misc_RNA from 1 species